rnacentral:rRNA from 1 species
AUUGAACGCUGGCGGCAUGCCUUACACAUGCAAGUCGAACGGUAACAGGUCUUCGGAUGCUGACGAGUGGCGAACGGGUGAAUAAUACAUCGGAACGUGCCCGAUCGUGGGGGAUAACGAAGCGAAAGCUUUGCUAAUACCGCAUAAGAUCUACGGAUGAAAGCAGGGGACCGCAAGGCCUUGCGCGAACGGAGCGGCCGAUGGCAGAUGAGGUAGUUGGUGGGAUAAAAGCUUACCAAGCCGACGAGCUGUAGCUGGUCUGAGAGGACGACCAGCCACACGGGGACUGAGACACGGCCAGACUCCUACGGGAGGCAGCAGUGGGGAAUUUUGGACAAUGGGCGAAAGCCUGAUCCAGCCAUGCCGCGUGCAGGAUGAAGGCCUUCGGGUUGUAAACUGCUUUUGUACGGAACGAAAAGACUCUUUCUAAUAAAGAGGGUCCAUGACGGUACCGUAAGAAUAAGCACCGGCUAACUACGUGCCAGCCGCCGCCGUAAUAC